rnacentral:rRNA from 1 species
GACGAACGCUGGCGGCGUGCUUAACACAUGCAAGUCGAACGGAAAGGCCCUGCUUGCAGGGUACUCGAGUGGCGAACGGGUGAGUAACACGUGGGUGAUCUGCCCUGCACUUCGGGAUAAGCCUGGGAAACUGGGUCUAAUACCGGAUAGGAGCCAUUUUUAGUGUGAUGGUUGGAAAGUUUUUUCGGUGUAGGAUGAGCUCGCGGCCUAUCAGCUUGUUGGUGGGGUAAUGGCCUACCAAGGCGGCGACGGGUAGCCGGCCUGAGAGGGUGGACGGCCACAUUGGGACUGAGAUACGGCCCAGACUCCUACGGGAGGCAGCAGUGGGGAAUAUUGCACAAUUGGCGCAAGCCUGAUGCAGCGACGCCGCGUGGGGGAUGACGGCCUUCGGGUUGUAAACUCCUUUCGCUAGGGACGAAGCUUUUUGUGACGGUACCUAGAUAAGAAGCACCGGCUAACUACGUG